CAGAAUCCUGACAAUGGGGGCUAAAGUGUCGCUGAUGCUCAGUGUCAAGGCAGGACCCAUGUCCCAUUCCUCAGCCUGAGAGUUCUGCAGAGUUUGGUGAAUGGGCCUCAGUGUAAGCAGGACAACUCUUCAGCUGAAAGAAGACACAGGCUUGAGACUAGCGUUAUUCCUUUCUAUGCUGUGACAGUGGACAUAACAUCUGCAGCUGCACUAGGGAAAAAUACCACUCCAGGAGGGAAAAACCAUUAUCACCCCAGUUUAUAAGGGAAAGCUGAACUUAGCAAAGCAUGGAAUAUAAACUUGUUAGCUGGAACUCCAGCAACCAUUUGGAGCCAUUAGGAAGUCCCUUGCUGAUGAUUUGACUCGGGAGUAGAGUUGCACACCUGCAGGGGGCACCAGGUGCAUCACUGUGCGUCCAGGAGUGUAUUAGGCACUGUCAGCAGAGCGAGUGUACCUCCAGGCACUCUUCAAUACUGACUGGGAAUGCACCUAAGGAAAAGGCUGGAUUUUGAAGAAUUGGAUGAGGUUUAGUUUCUUGCAGCUUUAAAAUAAGUAUAAUAAAAUUUACUUUUUAAGUUUCUUCUA